AUCGCACAUCUGGCUUCAGCCAAUCAGGAUAUUUCUGCUGAUGAUUUUGCACCAUGAUAAGCAAGCCUGGACAUGUUUGAGAACAUGAUGUCAAAUAUAGGAGGGGUUGAAAAGUGUGCAGUGUAAAUCUUAUCGUGUUCAACCAGGCCUGUUUGUUCUGACUGACAUCAUGUCUUAACCCCACAUGGCUCCACUUCAACCAAGUUCCUCCUCACGCACCUCCUGAGGAGCAACACACACACAGUGCCGCAGUCUUUGUCUGACUGCUGUGAAAGUCCGAUGGCUCAGGAAUACUAAUCCCACUCGCAUGUCAUUUGGACGGACCAGAGGAGCAGCUAAUGGGGCAGGCGAGAUGAGGAGGAGACACUGUCGAUGGCUGUGUGGCAGUGUGUGUGAGUGGCAGAGUCCUCCCAGCCACAGAGAUAAAGAUUAGCAAAGGCCGAGCUGAACACAGAGGUAAGUGUCUGCCGCAAUAGCCCCAAUCACAUUGUGAAAGGCUCUUCACUCAAAAGCACUGUGUCCUCCACAGGUCCAUUUACUGCACAUGGCACUGCACAUCAUCCCGCUACUGCUGCCAGUGAAAAACAGGCCUUCCACUUUGGGCAGAGUGAGAUCUCAAUGGCACGAUCAGGGGAUGGAGAGUGGAAGUGUGAUGAGAGAGGAGGAGUAAGAGAGAAAGAUAAAUGGGCUUAAUGGACUAUCAUGAAUGCAGUGGGCGGAGUCAUGCCAGUUGUAGGUACUCAUCAGCGAGUGAUAAUUCAACAGUAAAGGCUGCCACAGAAAAUGACCGUUUAUGAGUCCAAAACAGGGGGAGUCACUGUUUAAUAUUUCAUAUUCAUUAACAUUUGGAAGAAACUGUGAUUUAAAAGGGGGAAAAUCAAGUAUGAGAUUCUUUGGCAAAUGUUAAAAUGGUCCAGGAUUAAGCUGCUGUUAAUUAUUUAUGAACAUGAAUUUCACGAUUAUGGGUCUGACUGACGCACUGCAUUGAGCAGCUCCAAUUGAACACACAAUCAGUGGAUUUGAAAUAUGUCUCUGUUUCUCCAAGCUAAGUGUUAAGGCAUGAAUCAUUAAAUAUUUGCUGCAUUAAUUAUUCAGAUACGCCAAUUCUUAUUAGAAAAUAGGGUGAAGAAACUAAAAGUGUGUUAAAAUAAGACAGAAACAUCAUCUUGUCUAAGGGUCUGGAUGAAGUUAUUUGCUCUGGAGAUGUGUGUGUUCAGACUGUUUUGCUCCAUGUGCUGAAUCAGAGUCUUAUGGAAAGUGUGACCUGCUGCAGGGUGGGAUGGCUUCCUUGUUUUAUCUUUCAUUUUCUCAGCAUCCUUCCGUUAAAAGCUUCUAAAGAAUGAACUUUAUGAACUUCUUACAUUUUAGUUUGCAGCAGUAAUGCUCUUAACAAAACAGAAUCACCAUGAGGUACUGUAAUAUGUUUGUUCAGCAAGGAUUUUUUUUUUUUUAAUUAGUAUUGUAAUGUAUUUUGUUCAUUAAUUAGUUGAUUGUACAUUGAUUUUUAAUUUUAUAAUUUAACUUCCAAGCAAGGUUUUGUUAAGCCAACCAGUUUAAAUUGAUAAGAUUUAUUUUCCUGUUACUGUGUCUAAACCCUCCUCUGACCAAUGCACAAUUAUUCACUGAAACUCAAUAGUUUUGGAUCCUGCAGCUUAAAUGUUGUGCACAUUUCUUACAGUCUUUUUGCAUAAGCAUGAUAUUAGUCAGAGGUGAACUGAGCUGAUCUUACCUUAUGAAAUCCCCUUCAUUACCAUUAUAUUAAGCACUGGGCCAUUCACCAAAGUUUAGAGAGGCCAUAAUGUUCUGUCCUCGUGUUUGCCACUGAUUAAGGUUUUGAUUGAGUGAUUAAAAGCUUUCCUGUGGUUCUCCCUCCUGCUGACCUCUUGCUGUGGCGCUCUUGCUCAGAAAUCAUUUAAAUUUUCUCUAACUGUCAAGAGAGGCCCACUCGUUGCAUCAAGCCUCUUUCCUGAAUGGCUGCACACAUUAGCAUAGCGCACAUAACGAGCACUCUGACCCGAGAUGCACCCAAAAGGGGCUUUUAACGGUUAAGGCUUCACCUUUUAUCCAUAGAGAAGCUUGUAGUGCUAAACUAAACCACCCUGACCACUUUAACAGUUAAGUCACUCUGAAGUGCCGAUAAGGGCUGAGCAUUACAUAAAUUGUUAAAAGUGCUCUGGGUGAAGCAUGGAUAUUUGUGUGCAUGUGGAAAAAAUGGGUGGAUCAGGUGGUGUAAUUGAUAAAAAAUAAAAAUAAAAAAUCACAGAGGUGAAAUUGCA
ensembl:lncRNA